rnacentral:lncRNA from 1 species
AAAGGGGAAAGUGAUCUAGCCACUUUCACCCGACCCACGCCAGGGCUUGCCAAUCCACUGGAUUCUUCCCGGAACAGUCUCUCCGACGAGGGACGACAAUUGGUCUAGAGAAAUCUAUGCUGAACAGGCCAAUCCUCCUCAAGACUUGACCAGUUUCAGCUUUGAGCAACUUGAAGGCCAACUGCCCUGAGUUGAUGAACUUCUGCUUCCUAAUUGGGUUUGUUUUGUUUUGUUUUUGCUUUUUAAAAACUUCUUGAGUUUAUUAUGGCCAAAGGCUAGGUGAGCAGAGAACCUGCUCAUGGCCGACCUUGAGAAAUGUAGGCAGAACGUCCACUGGCAGCAGAGAGCUGAGGAAGUGUUGGGCCGAGCCUUACAAUAGAAGCUGCAGCAGAGGCCUGCGCUCUCCCUUCUGAUGGCUGCCUGGGAAGUCAGACACUAUUCUCGGAGGUCCAACUUCACAGUGAGGAAGGCAAGACACCUAAACAGAAGGUCAUUUUCCCUUAGAUUGCUUCUAAGGCUUAGAAGAACAGAAGGAACAUAAAUGCCUUUAAUUUGCAGGCUGAGUUGGAUGAAAGGGAGGUCUUAAGACUCUUAGAGGCCGUCUUAGCUGAAUUAGGGAGCUGCUCCCUAAGAGACGAACCUCAGGCAAUUCUCUAAAAAGACCAUCUGGGCGGUCAAGAGCUGAAUGCCGCUUGGUUUUCCCUUCUCCUUGCUUUGACUGGGACCCAAAAUAUGACAGUCGUCCCAUUCAAAUCUAGGGGGGCGUUUCUCAUUCCCGGAUGUCCUCCCAAAGGCAGAUACCCAUGCCCUUACCCGCGGCGCGUGAAUACGAAGGGAGGCACUGCUCGGGCUCGAGACCGCACCAGAGACUGCUCGGAGCCCGCCGCCUCUGGGCCGCCGCCCCCCGCAGUGGAGGCAAAGGGCCAGAGGCCCCGAGCUUUGGAGCCGCUGGCGCCCAUGUCAGCGCCGCGGGCGCAUGGCGGACCCAGCGGCCGCUCCGCUCUCACAGCGCGGCGGGCGCGACCAUGCCCUGCCCCAGCUUCCACUCGCAGGUGCCGCCGCCGCCUUCCGCAGGCUCUGCUGUCUCCACGGAAACCUCACUUCCGCUUCCGCGCGUCCUGCACGGUGCCUCCUCUGAGUGGCUAAAGGUCUCGUCAGUCUGUGGUGUAGAACCAAUGGCCACUCUCAGAGGCUGACCACCACAGGAUGCGCUGCCUCCAGGUCCCAGAAGCCUAUGGGUCCCAAGGGUCAGCUGGGACAGCUCCCUUCCAGAAAGGCGGAGGUAAUGUGUUGUUGUUGACUUUAAGGUCGGACCGGGUAUAGUUGUCCCUAUGUCCCUGACACCGCCCAAAACUCGGGCCCAGUAGCAAUAGUCAAUUAGGUCACCCCUCCACCCUAAGGGACCUUAGGCCUGCCUGAGGCUAGGGUGGGCUGUUUUCACAACUGUGUCUUUGCAGUUGUCACAUUUGCCUGUAAAGAAACUACGGAACUUG